AGCCCCGGGGUGUUAUCAUAUACGAUUGCAAAUCGUGAGAAGCAGAGGAAAUCUGCCGGGGCUU
rnacentral:tRNA from 1 species